rnacentral:rRNA from 1 species
ACGGGAGGCAGCAGUGGGGAAUAUUGGGCAAUGGGGGCAACCCUGACCCAGCAACGCCGCGUGAAGGAAGAAGGCCUUCGGGUUGUAAACUUCUUUUACCAGGGACGAACGCAAUGACGGUACCUGGAGAAAAAGCAACGGCUAACUACGUGCCAGCAGCCGCGGUAAUACGUAGGUUGCAAGCGUUGUCCGGAUUUACUGGGUGUAAAGGGCGUGUAGGCGGAGCUGCAAGUCAGAUGUGAAAUCUCGGGGCUCAACCCCGGAACUGCAUUUGAAACUGUAGCUCUUGAGUGUCGGAGAGGCAAGCGGAAUUCCUAGUGUAGCGGUGAAAUGCGUAGAUAUUAGGAGGAACACCAGUGGCGAAGGCGGCUUGCUGGACGACAACUGACGCUGAGGCGCGAAAGCGUGGGGAGCAAACAGGAUUAGAUACCCUGGUA